rnacentral:rRNA from 1 species
GAACUUAAGCAUAUCAAUAAGCGGAGGAAAAGAAACCAACAGGGAUUGCCCUAGUAACGGCGAGUGAAGCGGCAACAGCUCAAAUUUGAAAUCUGGCUUCGGCCCGAGUUGUAAUUUGUAGAGGAUGCUUUUGGUGCGGUGCCUUCUGAGUUCCCUGGAACGGGACGCCAUAGAGGGUGAGAGCCCCGUAUAGUUGGACACCUAGCCUUUGUAAAGCUCCUUCGACGAGUCGAGUAGUUUGGGAAUGCUGCUCAAAAUGGGAGGUAAAUGCCUUCUAAAGCUAAAUACUGGCCAGAGACCGAUAGCGCACAAGUAGAGUGAUCGAAAGAUGAAAAGCACUUUGAAAAGAGGGUUAAACAGCACGUGAAAUUGUUGAAAGGGAAGCGCUUGUGACCAGACUUGCGCCAGGUGGAUCAUCCAGCGUUCUCGCUGGUGCACUCUGCCUGGUUCAGGCCAGCAUCGGUUUUCUCAGUGGGAUAAAGGCUCUGGGAAUGUAGCUCCUCCGGGAGUGUUAUAGCCCGUUGCACAAUACCUCUGAGGGGACCGAGGUUCGCGCUCUGCAAGGAUGCUGGCGUAAUGGUCAUCAGCGGCCCGUCUUGAAACACGGACCAAGGAGUCAAGCAUUAGGGCGAGUGUUUGGGUGCAAAACCCGCACGCGUAAUGAAAGUGAACGUAGGUGAGAGCUUCGGCGCAUCAUCGACCGAUCCUGAUGUAUUCGGAUGGAUUUGAGUAAGAGCCUUACCGCUUGGACCCGAAAGAUGGUGAACUAUGCUUGUAUAGGGUGAAGCCAGAGGAAACUCUGGUGGAGGCUCGCAGCGGUUCUGACGUGCAAAUCGAUCGUCAAAUAUGAGCAUGCCUCAACCCCACUUUUCGAUUUGCCUUU